UGUGUCACAGCUACCACAUAUUUAGAAGAUCAGCAGUGACUAGAUGAGAAAAAGUACUUGGAGGUUAUUUGUAAAUUGAAAUGAAAGAACCGAAGACCUGACAGCUACACCUUGCCUUCCCAGAGGAUUGCCUCAGGAAAAAAUUUAUAAGACCCCCCCCCAACCUGCAUUCACAAUGGGAGGAAAAGUGAUGAAACAGAAGCAUAAAGACAUGGCCCAAGGUCAUAUAGGAAGAAGGGAAGAAAGGAUUAUAAGGGCAUCUGACUAUGAAAUCCUCUGUUAUACUAUUGCCUUUCCAACAACGGACAUGCUAAAACUGACAACAUGAUGGCCUAAACAUUACUUCCUGCUCAGGCAAGCUUGAGAAGAUGGGAUCAAGGGAGUUUUGUGGUCCACUGAGCAAAGGAUGGGAAAAUCAGAAAGAUUCUGAGUUAUAAUCCCAG